rnacentral:rRNA from 1 species
CACGUAGGGGGCGAGCGUUGUCCGGAUUUAUUGGGCGUAAAGAGCUCGUAGGCGGCUAAGUAAGUCAGGUGUGAAAACUCCAGGCUCAACCUGGAGACGCCACCUGAUACUGCUUUGGCUAGAGUCCGGUAGGGGAGCAUGGAAUUCCUGGUGUAGCGGUGAAAUGCGCAGAUAUCAGGAGGAACACCAGUGGCGAAGGCGGUGCUCUGGGCCGGUACUGACGCUGAGGAGCGAAAGCGUGGGGAGCAAACAGG